UACGUAGGGUGCAAGCGUUGUCCGGAAUUAUCGGGCGUAAAGAGCUCGUAGGCGGCUUGUCACGUCGGGUGUGAAAGCCCGGGGCUUAACCCCGGGUCUGCAUUCGAUACGGGCUAGCUAGAGUGUGGUAGGGGAGAUCGGAAUUCCUGGUGUAGCGGUGAAAUGCGCAGAUAUCAGGAGGAACACCGGUGGCGAAGGCGGAUCUCUGGGCCAUUACUGACGCUGAGGAGCGAAAGCGUGGGGAGCGAACAGG
rnacentral:rRNA from 1 species